GACGAACGCUGGCGGCGUGCUUAACACAUGCAAGUCGAACGGAAAGGCCCUGCUUUUGUGGGGUGCUCGAGUGGCGAACGGGUGAGUAACACGUGAGUAACCUGCCCUUGACUUUGGGAUAACUUCAGGAAACUGGGGCUAAUACCGGAUAGGAGCUCCUGCUGCAUGGUGGGGGUUGGAAAGUUUCGGCUGUUGGGGAUGGACUCGCGGCUUAUCAGCUUGUUGGUGGGGUAGUGGCUUACCCAGGCUUUGACGGGUAGCCGGCCUGAGAGGGUGAACGGCCACAUUGGGACUGAGAUACGGCCCAGACUCCUACGGGAGGCAGCAGUGGGGAAUAUUGCACAAUGGGCGGAAGCCUGAUGCAGCAACGCCGCGUGCGGGAUGACGGCCUUCGGGUUGUAAACAGCUUUCGCCUGUGACGAAGCGUGAGUGACGGUAAUGGGUAAAGAAGCACCGGCUAACUACGUG
rnacentral:rRNA from 1 species